GUUUGCCUGCCUCCGGCAGUACGUGUACUAAAAUUGGAACGAUACAGAGAAGAUUGGCAUGGCCUCUUCGCAAGGAUGACACGUGAAUUCCCCGCGGUCGCGUGGAUCUUU